UAUUGGUAUAUUAACUAUUGAUUUAUCUUUUAUUUACUUAUGUUAAUUAUGGAUUAGUGGGUCAAAAACGAGGUCGUGGACUGACUAGGGGGUUAAAUACCCAAAAGUAUAAACGCAAAUCCGGGGGGGAGAAGCCAAAAAUUGUUAUUCCUAAAGGAAUAAACAGACCCGUUGGGGAGCAUAGCUCCAAACAUGCAACCGAGAUUGGGGUCUUAAUUAGGUGUGAAGCUCCAAUGCAAGUUGAGGGUUGGGCGAAAAUUCCGGAUGAAACAAAAGAUCAUCUUCUUAGGAAGUUGACUAAUAAGCUCAGUUAUGAACUGGAGGAGCCUCAUGUUGUUCAAUGCAUUUGGAAGUCUUUUGCCAAACAGUAUUCAUCUUUUCGUUCAAAUGCUCAUAAAUAUUAUUUAAAAUGGAAAGAAGGAGGUGGUGUGACACUAGCCAGACAGAAUAUAUACGAAAAACUCGGUGAUCGUCGUGACGAUUGGCUUUGGUUGUGCGAUUUUUGGGAGACAGCAAAGUUUGAGGUACUAUAUUAUUUUAGACAAUUUUUGUUAUAAUAAAUGGAUAUUACUGAUUAGAAAAAUGAUUCAUUACAUUAUUUUUUAUUAUUUUUCAAUAUUUACAGAAAGUUUCAAAUACUCAGAAAAGCAACAGGAAGAAACUGACAUAUAGUCAUAAAUUGGGAACAAAGUCUCGUGCAGCACAUCAACAUGAGAAAGUUAGUCAUAUAUUUUCUUACUAUGAAAUAUUUAGUUGUCGACGUAAAUUAACAUUUGAAUUGUUACAUCACAGGGUUUUGAUGAUAUUGAUAUGUAUGAGGUUGAAUACCAUAAUCCGAAAAAUGGAUGGGCAUAUAAAGAUUUUGAGGCAAAUAGUGUUCGAAUGAAAGAAUUGAGAGAACAACAAAGAGCUUUGCCAGAAGGCGUUGAUCGAAUGACCACAGAAGAAAUUUGCAUAACAGUUUUAGGGGAAAAUUCAUCAUAUGCUAAAUCGAAAGGUCUUAAUCGAAAAGUAUCUGGAGUUGAUGCU